GAGCAGCGUUUUUUUUCUGGGGUCGAAGAAGCCUUUCGAGAGAGCAAUCCAUGGCGGCUUCCAUCUCCGGCUACUGCAACCACGCUCUCUUCCUUCCUCUUCCCCCUCGCCUCUCUGCUUCGAAACCCUCCGGAGCUAUGGAUUCCGUCUCCCUGUCCGCGUUCCGGGGCGGCUGCUCCGCCCUCGCCGGAGGGCGCGCGCGCGCAGCGGGUCCCCUUUGGUUCCCCGAGCCGCGCCCGACUCGAGCGAGCAAGGGCCGGCGGCGGCGCCUCGGACUUUCUCCCGCUUCUUCCCGCGACGCCCCGAAAUCUAUCUUCUCAGGAAGCCAAAUGCUGGCUAAUCCCGUCAGAUGCCAGAACUUCUUUCUUGCUGCUAUGACUGAUGAUACAACUGUUGUACCGGAAAGAUCAACAGCACAUGAUAUGCCUGAAUCUGAACAUAGUCACAAUAAUCCCCCUGCUACUGAGCGAAACGAAAAGGAUAAUAGUAGUGACCUGAGCUUGGAUGAGAAUAAAAUGGUUCGCGUAUGCGACAAGCUGAUAGAGGUUUUCUUGGUUGAUAAGCCCACUCCAACUGACUGGAGAAGAUUAUUAGCUUUUAGUAAGGAAUGGAGCCAUAUCCGUCCUCAUUUCUUCAGGCGUUGUCAAGAGCGAGCCGACAACGAAGACAAUCCGGGGAUGAAACAUAAGCUGCUUCGGCUUGGUCGGAAGCUCAAAGAGGUAGAUGAAGAUGUGCAAAGACACAACGAGCUGCUUGAAGUGAUAAGAACUGCUCCAUCAGAGAUAAAUGAGGUUGUUGCGAGACGCCGGAAAGAUUUUACUAAAGAAUUUUUCGUACAUGUUCACACUGUAGCUGAAUCCUACUAUGACAACCCAUCAGAGCAAAAUGCUGUUGCGAAGCUUGGGAACAUGUGUUUGGCUGCGGUACAAGCUUAUGAUACGGCAACUGAAAGCAUUGAAGCACUCAAUACAGCAGAGUUGAAGUUUCAAGAUAUUAUCAACUCUCCCUCAUUAGAUGCGGCUUGUAAAAAAAUAGACAAUCUAGCAGCAAAAAAUGAACUUGAUUCGGCAUUGGUGUUGAUGAUUACAAAAGCAUGGUCAGCAGCCAAGGAAUCAAACAUGAUGAAAGAUGAGGUCAAGGAUAUACUGUAUCAUUUGUACAUGACUGCAAGAGGCAACCUUCAAAGACUGAUGCCAAAAGAGAUAAGGAUUUUGAAGUAUCUCCUCACCAUUGAGGAUCCUGAGGAGAAAGUUUCUGCCUUGAAAGAUGCAUUUACCCCGGGAGAAGAACUUGAAGGGAAUGAUAUAGACUGCCUCUACACGACUCCAGAGAAGCUUCACACAUGGAUAAGGACAGUGAUAGAUGCAUACCAUUUCAGUCAAGAAGGUACUCUUAUAAAGGAAGCUAGGGAUUUGAUGAACCCGAAAAUUAUUGAAAAGUUAGAGGAACUGAAGAAGGUAGUCGAAGACCAAUACUUGUGAAUAUCAACGACGAGUCUUUCUGCAGAUGCUGAUCCAGCGGUGGCCAUAUUGAACCAAGUGUAUGCGGAUUUGUAUCCUCUGUAUCUGUACAGUCGGCCACCGCAUAAUUUGCAAGCUAGGGGGUGUAGAAGUGUUUGGAAUUGUUCCCGCUUCACUCUCACCCGAGGAAAAUGAUCGUUUGCUUCUCUAUCUGUAGAUGCUACUGCCCUCGAAGCGACGGAGGCUCCUCUUCACUAAGAUGAAGCAAUAUUCAGUCAACAAAGGGUGUUUUGAGAUGCACAGAAAGCGGUGCUUCUCGAUUUUGCAGGUGAAGUGUUAUCUUAAUGAAUUGGAACAGAAGGAACUCUCAGAAGUCCAUUGUUUAGCUUCUAAAUCAGUUUGUCAGACACCGGAAGCAUAUCUCUUGUGCUGGGGCGUCGCAGUCGGCUUGUGGUUGUGCAAUCAUUGUGAUAGUGGCUCCGCCACUGUUACUUCGUCUUCCUAAGUUCUCGCGCUAUCAUGUUUGAAAAGAGAAUUAUGCGGGGAAUUAGUUUCUUUCCAAACUUUUCAUUGCAAAAUAUAUAUGGCAAAAGAAUGAUUUGUUCGA